rnacentral:lncRNA from 1 species
CUUUUUGCAUGAAAUUGGUGAUCAUAUAAAACCCUAAAAAAUGGAAUAAAAUCGAUCUUUUCAUAUGCAUAAUGAUUUGCCUUGUUUGAUUUCUAAAAAGCUUUUCAUAUCCAAAAAUCAUUAUGCAAGUUGAUUUCUAAACCCAUUGAACAAAUAUGCAUAAUGAUUUGCCUUGUUUGAUUUCUAAAAAGCUUUUCAUAUCCAAAAAUCAUUAUGCAAGUUGAUUUCUAAACCCAUUGAACAUAAUGACC